GAUGAACGUUGGCGGCGUGCCUAAUACAUGCAAGUCGAGCGAACAGACGAGGAGCUUGCUCCUCUGACGUUAGCGGCGGACGGGUGAGUAACACGUGGAUAACCUACCUAUAAGACUGGGAUAACUUCGGGAAACCGGAGCUAAUACCGGAUAAUAUAUUGAACCGCAUGGUUCAAUAGUGAAAGACGGUUUUGCUGUCACUUAUAGAUGGAUCCGCGCCGCAUUAGCUAGUUGGUAAGGUAACGGCUUACCAAGGCAACGAUGCGUAGCCGACCUGAGAGGGUGAUCGGCCACACUGGAACUGAGACACGGUCCAGACUCCUACGGGAGGCAGCAGUAGGGAAUCUUCCGCAAUGGGCGAAAGCCUGACGGAGCAACGCCGCGUGAAUGAUGAAGGUCUUCGGAUCGUAAAACUCUGUUAUUAGGGAAGAACAAAUGUGUAAGUAACUAUGCACGUCUUGACGGUACCUAAUCAGAAAGCCACGGCUAACUACGUG
rnacentral:rRNA from 1 species